rnacentral:lncRNA from 1 species
GGCUUCAGCCUCUCCGCGCAGAAGUCUCCCGGAGCCGACUUCUGAGAGUCGAGUACUCCUAUGUGAAGACUACCAAGCUCGUGUUCAAGGGAACCAAGGCGAAGAGGUGGGUCCUGCAGCUCUGGCGGGAGCCUUCUCAGUUCUUUUCGGACGCACUCCACCCCCGCGAAUCCGGUGGAAGUCGUGCCGCGGAGAGCUGGCUUUGUGGCAUCCCAGGCUUCGCCCUGGCGCCUGUCCGGGCUGGAUGGAGGCCAGAUAGCGGUUCCUGGCGCCUGUGCAGAGAGGGGCAGCCUCCCGCGCGGACGACCCUGGAAACAGGAUAGACGGGCGGGUGACCCGUGGCCCCGUACCCACGAGUUUGGGUCCCCUGAGGCAUCUCUCCAGGCCUCUGCCUGUAAGAAGAAAAAGAACAAAGAUAAGAAAAGAAAAAGAGAAGAAGAUGAAGAAACCCAGCUUGAUAUGUUGAAUCACCCUGAAAUCUGGCUAUGGAAAAUAUCUUGGUAUAAAUUCAGAUGAACUUGUUGUUGGGCGUUCAGAUGCAAUUGGACCAAGAGAACAAUGGGAACCAGUCUUUAAAAUUGGGAAAAUGGCUUUGUCGACCUCAAAUAGCUGCUUUAUUAGAUACAGUGAAGCAGAGGACAUAGAAGCAAAAAGUAAAACAGCAGGAGAAGAAGAAAUGAUCAAGGUAAUGAUGACAUUUUAUACAGAUGACUGCAUUCACACAUGCGAUGUGACUGUAUCUCUUUAAAAUGUUAAGUCAUCAUUUACAGUCACUUUAAAGAUUUAGUUAAUGGCUUUUUAUAAUGUGGUGUUUCAAAUAGAGUCAUUUUAAAUUAUAAAUCCCAUAGUUGAUGGCUUGUUUAUACAAUGUGGUAGAGAAAUCAGUGCAUCUAGGAGCUACCUUGCCAUUAUCUCCAUGGAUUAGUAUCUUUUUCUGGUAGUUCCACGUGCUCUUUUUAAGCUUUCGUUUUCUUGUUUUCUUGCUUGUACUUUAAAAUCUAAUUUUUAAAAUAGAUAACGUGUACACGUGGUCCAACAUUUUUAAAUAAAAGCAUAUGAAGAUGAAGA